AACGAACGCUGGCGGCAUGCCUAACACAUGCAAGUCGAACGAGACCUUCGGGUCUAGUGGCGCACGGGUGCGUAACGCGUGGGAACCUGCCCUUAGGUUCGGAAUAACUCCCCGAAAGGGGUCCUAAUACCGGCUAAUAUCUUCGGACCAAAGAUUUAUCGCCUUUGGAUGGGCUCGCGUUGGAUUAGCUAGUUGGUAGGGUAAAAGCCUACCAGGGCGACGAUCCAUAACUGGUCUGAGAGGAUGAUCAGCCACACUGGGACUGAGACACGGCCGAGACUCCUACGGGAGGGGGGAGUGGGGGAUAUUGGAAAGUGGGCGGAAGCAUGAUCCAGCAAGGCCGGGUGAGUGAUGAAGGCCUUAGGGUUGUAAAGCUCGUUUACCCGGGAUGAUAAUGACGGUACCGGGAGAAUAAGCUCCGGCUAACUCCGUG
rnacentral:rRNA from 1 species